rnacentral:lncRNA from 1 species
AAUACGAAUUCCAAGGGUAAUUAAAAUGAAUAAACCAUCAGAUUUGGUAAAAUCAUGCAGCUGAGAGAAGUUUGCUCUCCACUGCAUUUCUGCCUCUUUGCAUUUCAUCCUCAGCACAAAGGGAGCUAGAUUCCAAGGCUCUGAGCGAGUCGUUUGUGCUUCUGCAAAAAAAUAUUACCCACAGAAAGUGGCAAACCCCGUGGGAUCUAUGCUGAGAACCACAAGGAAGAGAGGAAAGCAGCUGUGCUGCUCUGCUGGGGGGAGUACAGAGUGUGGGGCUCAUUUGGGUGCUCCCUGUGCAGGGGGUGAAACCAAGCAGGACAGAAGUGGGUGGUGUACAUUUGCUGUACUCAAUAAUUGGCAACGAUUUUUGGAAGGAGAUUGGGGGUGAAAUUAACAGAUUUGGGGCACGACCAAAUCUGUUCUCCAUUUUGUGUCCUUGUUGAGUCUCUCAGUGCAGGCACAACACAGUGCUCUUUGCAACACCCUGGUGACCCCUAGAUGAGACUUGGAAGACCACUUCUUUGCACUGGCACUCCAGACAUCAUGGCCAAGUGCCCCCAGCAAUGUGGGGCUGUAUGCCAGUGGGUCACGAAAGGAUGGAGACCACCAGCUUGGAGGGUCUGGGAAUGAAGCCUUUAAUUCAGGGGUGGACACUGAGGCAGUCCCAAUGGCUUGCAGCAUGGGCUGGAAGAACAGGAUGAUUAAUGAGAGCAAUGGCACGAAGGAGCCAGGAACUAAGUAAUGAGACCUUUAUUUGAUACAUAAUACAGCCGGGGCCCUCUAUAAAGAGAAUACCAAGAGUAGGGCUAAGUUUCACAGUUCUGGGAAUGUAUCAGGAAGGGGGAAAGCUUUGCUGACUUUGCAGCCAAACGCCUGGGCCAUCCGCAAGUGUUGUUCGCAGUGAGCUUGGGACAUGUUAAUUUGGUCAUAUAUCUUCAGAUGGUGGCAAGAUGCCCUGACUUUUGAUUUACUGUGCUGAGUGGGUCUGUGUGAUGUUGUGGGUUUAAAAUGAGGUGUCCAGAGCCUGAUUCAGUCACAGGAUCACUGAAUUCCAGCUGGGAGAUGAAGAAGCCGUUAUACACACACAACAAGAACUUCCAGCCAAAAAUUACUUAUGGUUUCAAUUAAAGGAGAAGAAGUUGCUGAUUGUUUAGGUAUGGAUGUCAGAAACACAGCAGUUAACAGCAGAGAUGAAUGAGAGAUAGUGAGGUGAUAACUUAGAUAAAUUGGUAUCUCAUCCAUAUUAAGGAGACAGCUCAUCCUCUGGUGCUGCUGGAUGACAUGAAGAGUGGAGUGUAUAUGGAUACUAAAAAACGUUGGUCUUAAAGUUAAAUCCCCAAGAACCAUCAGAAAUAAGUCUCAGAAGCCAAAGUGAGAUCUGAUGCACGCUGCAAAAAUAUGCAGUCUGUCAGGGAACGCUGCUCUCUCCAUAUAACUUCCACCGUUUGUGGGACAAUUAUAGAGAAAAUGAUACUGUGAUCUGUAAAGCAGUUCCUGCAGUGGUUUUAUUCACUAACUCGAUGCCACGCAUAAUCAUAGCCAGUAACAUCUCCAGAGGUGUGUGCAUAAUAGAGAGACAUCAAGUCAAUGAGUCAAAACAUCAGAAAAUAAAAUUCAGAUGAACAUCACUUGCAGAAAUUCUAUCAUCUGUCAUUUAACGCUGUCUGAAGACCUCCACGUUGAAAUAAGGCGUGGAAACCAGAAGUUACCCCAGGCAGCAGUCCUUAGGACCUGCACGGACUCAGGGCUUUCUGCAAGUUGGGUUGAGUGCCAAAGAAGUUCUCUUGCGAUCUUAAAACUCAAGCACCCAAAAAACACCAUAGAGGGGAAGGCAGGGAGCAGGGAGGAUCUGUCCUGCCGUGUCCCCACCUCAGAUCCUGCCCAGCAUCACCCAAGCAGCCGCUGCUGGGAGCGGAGUUGCUCCUGGAUCACCUUAAGGCUAUUUGCAGCUCUUGCUGAUGCCCUUUCAAUACCCAAUCCCGAAACUUUUCAUGCGAGGAAGCUUGCAGGAUGACAGAUUGCACCUUAAAACAAAGAGGUAAUAGCUCUUAGGUCCAGAUCUGUUCUUGGAACUAAAUUCACUGCAGAAGAAGUGUUUCUGCACAACUGCAUAAUGCCUCAAAGUGGCAUUUUACAAUCUUUAAAUUCCAACACCGAUGAAGAAUUCUGCUUUAAACUACUGCAGCAGCCCAGCCCCCCUUUAUUUAUGAGUAAUAGGCUUUUCAUUUAGAUUUAACUACAGAUUCGAGUGGUUUCCAUGUGCCAGGGCUCGGAGUCACACCAGUGUCUCCUGAGGUGGCCGUGCUGUUUCCACAGAGUCACUCAGGAUCCCCACCAAACCUGUCUUUGCAUACAUACGUGUGUAUUUUAUAUAGAUGUACACAUGCACUUCAUUUUUAAAAAGACAAAGUUUUUAUUCCAGGCUUCAUUUUCCUUUAAACCGUAUGAAGCCAAAGUUCGAAAGGAUGACCCCAAAAUUGCCAGUUUGAUUGUAAUUUCCCCCAAAAGAUUUUGGGUUGUAGGUACAUAGAGAACGAUGGCUUUGCUUCCCCCUUUCUGCUCAUCAUCCCAUGCAACGCUGAUGUGCCAGGAAGCGUGGAUGGGAUCAGGGAGCUUGGUGAGUUUGCCACAUCAGUAGUCACUGAGAGUGCCUGAAGUUUCAUUUUUCAAUGGAAAGCUGCAGUGAAACGAGUAUUUUGCUACUCAUCUUGUUAUUAUUCAUCAGUGCUUCCAAGCACCUCUCAGCCCUUUGUUUCUUGGGAAAGGCAUGGUGCUUAAAGGGGCUGAAAGGUGGAUUUUGUGGAAAGCCCAACCCACAUCUUUGAUCCCAGCGGUUUUGUAAAGCAUUCGUUUUGCUCGCUGGGAAAAUCUCUGCCCUCCCCACUCCCUCACCUCCCCCUCUUUCCCCUCCACCUAAGUUACCUCGUCUGGAUCCGAAGGAACGCUUGCCAUCCUUUGAAGAGGUAGUCUCGUCCGAAAAAUCAAUAGUCAACAUUGUCUUUAAAUAGUCUGACAUUUACCUUUACAGCAGUUUUCAUUUCUUUCCCAGAUUGCUCAGACGUUUGUAUUACCCACACACUACAUCCCUGAUCUCUCGGCCGGGAGCUUUGCACGGAUGCAGCCCCGGUGCUGCAGAGCGGCCACCAGCAAGGAACUGCAGCACGAUAAUUAACAGGACGGGAGCUCACUAAUAGAAGCAUCUUUAACUAAUUUAUGGAAGACAUCAGGUGAGAAUAAUUACAAGCAGAAGGGUAUUGUAAAUCCCUGAAGAAAAUACACUUGGAAUGCAGUUUUCCCAACAAGCAAAUCUGAAUGCUAGCCCAAAGGUCAGAAAUAAAAAGGCUGAGAGCUUCAGCUCCCCGAGCAGGCACCUCUCCGAUCCCUUCUUGUCAAGAAAUUGUCUGGGGGUUCAUUUAGAAAGCUGCUUGUUCAGGGCAGGGCCAUUUGCAAUCUGGGAAAGUUAAGCAAAUUAGCAGAAUUAUUAGGUAAGAGGCAAUUCUCCACAGCCUGCAAGGCAACCGCUUGUUAAAUGAGCUCACACCAGAGAGUUGCACUGAUCGAGUGGUGUUUGCAGAGACGGGGCUGUGCAGGCAUUUGCUCUGAAAUAAUACUGCUGUAUUCCCCUGGAAAAAUUAAAAAAAAAUGGGAAUUUGUGCAGGCUGAGCUGGAAGAUGCCUCUGUCUUCCAUACGCAUUCCUGCUUCUCUGCUCCUUCUGCUAUAAUAAAUAUCAUAAUCCUAGCAAAUGAGAGAAGGAGAUUAACCCGACACCUUUAACCCAGUUACUGCUUAAAAUAGGGAGCAGUGUGGUGCCACGAGGCCCCAAAGCAGGUGGCUCUGCACCCGCUGUCCCCUGGGGCUCAUAGGGACAGCUGUGCACUGCAGCCCCGCUGCUCUGUGCAGUGUUGGGAGUGGGAUCCAACUCAGGUCCUGCAAGGAGCCCACCCAAGGGUGGCUCACACUGCUCACUUGUUUUUAUAUACUCUUUGCCUAUUGAUUUGAUAUUUUUAUACCUUAUACAGUGCACUUAGCACAGAAAAAAAAAAAUGGAUUAACCAAGUAAAUGUGCUUUAUUAGCGGAUCUCUGAUGGAGAAUGAUGUCGGUUUUCCAUUUAAAAGAUGCAUCGGAUUCAUCCACUCAUGAAUCAAUUAGUUCAUGCUUGAGGACCUCCUAACAUGCCACAUAAAAAACUCCCAAUGUCAAACUGCACGCUGGGUGGAACAACCAAGGGUUUCAAAUGAAAAAAGUGCAUCACUGGGAAACCUUUGGCUCUUCCACCACCACUAGGAUGGAAGCACUCUGCCCAACUCUUAGUUAACACAUUCUUUCUGUUCCUUGGUUUCUUAAAAUCUUUCUUUUUUUCAAGUUUUUAUUGACAGCUUUACACUCCUCCCUCUGCUAUACAAUGGAGACGGGCACAUAUCGUAAGCCUUUCCAAUGGUAGUUUUGGGGUCAGGCUGAUUAGAUUUGGGAAGUGUCAAUUGUUGAAUGCUGUCCUCCUUCUGUCUGAGACUAACAACUCUCCCUACUCAGAGGGUUGGCCCUCUUUCUGUCCUUCCUGAGGUUUAGGGCUCAUUGGUCCAUGCUCCACACCAUGAAAAGGCACAUACACUUUCCUAGUGAUUCACAUUUCUGCUUAGAUAAGAACCAACAGGCUCCAUCCCACCCUGGAGCCCCUGGGACUAUGUGGAAGGUCGCAGUGUUUAUUUUUGGUCUUGUCCAAUUAAAGACAAUGACCUGGAGUAGAUGAGAUGCCUGGGCAUGCAUUCAUAUCACAGGCAUAAUGCAAGAACCGUAGGCAUUUAAAUGGGAAUUCUUUCUCACCCGGUUAGACCGAUGCGUAAGGAAAUAAUCCAAGUGGGGCAUUGACAAGAUAUUUUUUGUUGUAAGUCUGCAUGCUAAAACCCCUAAAUAAAAGGAUUUUACUCCUUGAGAGAAAGAGGAAAGGCUAUGCACACCCAGCCUGAGGUGUCACUACAACUCAAUGGGAGCAAUGCACGAGCACUGAGCUGCUGGGAUGGCUGCCUGCACAUUGGGUGCCCACACUAUGUACAGAGCAGAGGGCACUGCUUAAACCUCAGUCAAAUAAGUAAACAUGGACAAGGAAGUAAAAACAGACGCACUUUUUUCUCAUUGCUGCGAAGAAUUCAGGCCAUGCAAGCACCAGGGCUGUGCAAAGAAGAGCAACUAUGUUUAAGAGCAUCCUUCUCUCUCUUGGAUGUACAUCCAACAGCAGAUAACAUCACCCAGCCCUUUCUGCUUUUGGAAACCAUGUGCAGCACAACUUGCUGCUCACAUUUAAUCCAAACUGAUGUCCUACGGCUGUCAUAUGCAUGAUUAUGGCAGUCGUUUUUAAUUAGUGAUUGUGUCAAUAGUAUUGACAUUUUCAUCACUUUUGGGGGAAGUAGAGAAUAUUUUCCAGCAGGUGAAGUCCCCUCUUUGCAGUUCUCUUCCCCUCCAGCUGCACCUACUGGAUAAAUGAGCUAUGCAUCUUAUUAAAAAGAAAGCAAGAGCAUUAAGUCUGUUCUCUGCUUAAGUACAUUACAGCAACUUAGGCAACACGAAACUCAAGAAAGGCAGAAAAGCAAAUACCCUCUGUCCUAUGGCAAGAUUUACAAUCUUGUUCUGAGUGCAAUAUUUAUUAUACGGCUUAACAGAAGCUCUGGCAGGAUGGGGGAAAUGCUGGCGGCCCCGUGACAAGGAGGAGGCGUUCAAUAGCUUGCUGGGAAGUGGAGUUGGACACGAACUGAUCAACCAGCCAUUACACUCAGUGAUAAACACCCUGCAGGAGCCAUCAUUCACCCAGGAAGAAAGAGGAAGGCAGAUCAUUACAUUUAUUGGUCAUAGUUUUUAAAGAGUCAAUAAAGACCCACUAGAAAAGACACGGUUAGGAGCAGGAAUAUAUAUAUUUUUUUCAUGUAUCUUGAAAAUACCUUCAGCUCAGUUUGCUUUCUGCCCAAUACGUCAGGGUGAAUCUUCAUCCUAGGUGAUGGUCCCAGUGUAGACGGUGCUCAUAUUGUACAGUUUUUAAUGUCUUUAACCAUCUUUAGCUUUGUACCCUGAUAGCCCCUCCAGGCUAUAUGUCAAUGCCAUCUGGGAGUAAAAGAAGAGACUUCUGCUCAAGUAACGCUGUAAUGUAGAUCUCUCGACUAAAAUUGCACUUCCUUCACUUGACAAACUGUCAGCACAGAACAAUUAUCUGCCUGUUGGUUUGCUUGUCUUUUCUUUUUUUCUCCUCUCAGAAAAAAGAAAAAAAAAGAAAAAAGAAGAAGAAAAAAAAAACCAUACAAAGGAAAAGGACCUGCAGAGUAAAAUGCCGUGGGCAAAAUCCACAUAAUCUGAUUGCUGCGCCCAGAGAUGCAUUGGUGGACCACCAAAGGUAAAAGUGGGUCUAAUGCUAAAGGAGAGGGACAAUUUCUAGCUCCUUUCUUUCGGGGAUUUCCAGAGAGGAUAUUGCUAAAUAGAAGAUUAGGGAGGAAGAGGCAAGAGUCAUUAGACCCCUCUGCUUGUCUUGAGGGAGAAACCAAAACAGGCUGGAAGAGUCCAAAGCUUGUGUCCUGCUCAACAAGCUGAAGGAACCAUUUGAUUUUUCUCUCCUGGUAAGAAAGGAUGAGGAUGAUGUCUUUAGGGAAGAGAGCCAACCUGAUUUUUUGCUAGCCAUCUUGGUGUUAAUGGGACCGUGCAGUUCAUUUGGAGAAUACCCACAAAGCAUGAGUAGAGCCCCAAGAGGUGUAAUCUAAAUUAGUGGGUAAAUUUAUUUGUGCACUUUUUUUUUACUGUUUUAUUUUCCUUCUUCCCUUCUGUACCACCUCUUUUGCCACCUCCUCUGCCUCACUUGACAGAUGAAUGUGUUCAGGUCUUUGGGACAGAUAAUGUGUCUGUAUCCCUUUUAAAAGUCCUGUACAAACACUAUGGAUAUGAGAGUGCAGGUGUAUUUAGUCUGGUGUGUUUAGCAGAUUUAGAUUAUGAAUUACUGCUCAAAAUAACGUUUGCAUUUGCUGACAAAGGUCUUUAUUACAGAAGAGGUCAAGAAAAAAAGAUUAUUCCUGCUAAUUAUCCACUGCUAUUUAAUAUUUGCACAAAAGGUUUGCAAGACAGAGUCCUCAGCAUUGCUUUGUUUGAGAAGCUAAUAGGGUUUCUAGGAAACCAGCAGGGUCUGGAGGGCCAUCAGAUCAGCCUGUUAGUGGCUAUGAAGGACAAUUAGGCCUGAUGGAGUUACAGGGUGGUUGGCUAAAGGAUGGCAGUCCCUGAGCCAGGGCCUGAUGCUGGGGCAUUCAAAGUCAGUGGUAGAACUUCCACUCAGAGCUGUGCUUUAUGAGAAGCCAACUGGAGAGGAUCCAGUUUUCACACCCUGGGUAGGUCCAUGUCCUGGUUGAAAUGGAAGCUCCAUUUGCUCCUAUGCAGAGCAUCAGAAGGGAUUUGAGGGUGAACAGGUUUGACAGACAAACUGUUGGGAGGAAUAUUAGCAAUUAUUUUUUGGCCCUGGUCUUAGGUUUGUCCCUGUAUAUUAGCAGUCCUUGGAAAGUUCCCCCAAAGUCUAACAGCUGCCUUUGGCUUGGCCCCCACAUUUCUUGCAUUGGUUCAUAGUAGCCUGUAUCGUUCUACAAAUUCCUUAUUAAGUGAAUUGAAGUUCCCAUUCAUAAAGAUAUAAUUAACCAAUAAAUAUACCUGCAGAAAUUUCCAAACGUAGAUGUCUGAAGGUGAGAUCCAUGUUUAAGCUCCUAAAUACAUGGCCCAACUUUAAAAUCCCCACAUCCAUCUUCUUGCUUCAAGUGAAAUGGAAGCUUCCUACUAUUCAGUGCUCAGAUGGCUGUGGGGUACCAAAACACAGACCAAGGUGAUGUUUUGGCACACGGGUUUAUAGAGUGAUCAAAGUAGUGUGACAUCAUUGCACAACAACUGCAUCAGAUGAUAAAAUGCCAUGUACUCCCAUAUAACAUGUUGUAUGGAUGCAUACCGCUGUUCCCAUAUAUAUCCAGAACUCUUCUGGGAGGAUUUCUGGGACAACAAAUGCUUUCAGUAUUUCCUGCAGAGGAACAUGUGCCUGGGAUCUGUGUAGAUGCCAACAGCCAAAGCCUGGGAGCCCCAUUAAAAGAAAUCACCCUGAGCUGCUGCAGCAGGGUGGUGUGAAGGAGAACAUCCUCCUCCAACAGUUCAUGCACAGCUUCCCACUUAUGCAUUUUUCAGAACGAAUGCAGCAAAUAUACCUGAUCAGUGCUGAUACAACUGCUUCUCCUCCCCGACAUAUUUACACUAAGAGAUUGAUGAACCACAGGAAAAGAAGAAAAUAACAGAACAAACAACUUAUCUUCCCAGAAGCUCCCUAGAAACUUAUCUGUCAUCACUGCCCAGGCUGCAGCAAGAGGGGAUUUCAGCAUGGAAGGUAUUCUCAGUGUAUGCUGUUCACUCUGAGGGAACUUUUGACACCCAAGCAUUCUUUUCAGUGUGAGAAGCGAUUACUGCUUCCCAAAGGGGAGAGCUGGAGACCUGAGCCCUCAGCUCUGCACAUGCUCCUCAACCCCAACUUGUUCUCAGGAAAAAGUACCAGGUAUUUGCCUGAUCUAACGGAAUACAUGGAAAAAAAACAAACAACAACAACCAAACCACUAUUUGGAUUUCAGUAGGACUUCAGCAUAGACGCUUUGACACUUAAGGUGAGAAAAAUGAGCUACAGAGGAAAGCAUGGGUUUCCUUUUAGCUGAGGAGGGAUGCUCCUGCAGCUCCACUGCUCCUCAUGUCUUUGUCUUUAAAACACUCAGUGACAUAAAAAUUAGACGCACGUUAAACCUCAAAUCUAGCAAAUAGCUCCAUCUCUUAAAGCAUGUGAAUACUCCUGAUACUAUUAAGAACAUUUAACCGGUACCUGAGGGACUGGGGACCUGGAGUCAGGCGACCCAGUUUCCUACAUAAGAAAAGAGAGAAAUGUCUGCCUCCUCUAAUGCCAGGGGUUAUCCUGGGCCAGGUAUCUUUAAAAAGUAAAGAUGUGAGCAAUCUCAUAUCAGACUUAUGCAUCCAAAUGGCUCAUUAUACCAGCAGUAAUAGCUUGUGAUAGUCCUAUAGAUUUACAGUACUUAGGAAGAGAUGAUGCCCAACGUCCUUUCCCAACAAUCAUUAUGACAUGGGGAAAACCAGUGAUUUUCUUUAAGUCCAUUAGCAUAAUAUUUGUGCUUAUGAGGAUUAGACCAGCAGACACUUCACAGGUCUUUAGAAACAUAAGCCCAACACAUUCAAAUGGAGACUUUUUUUGGAACAAAGCUAUUAUCUCUCAAAUCACCCAAUAUUGCUGGCCAGUUUGGGGCAGCUGGGAAGCAGCAGGUGCUUCCACCCCAUUCCCUGCCUUGCCAGCCCCAGAAUUCCCAUUUCGUGAGCAGCUCAGCGCAUGGAACAAAACACAAGGAGGGAACUUCAGAUCAAAACGUUUAUUCUUCAUUGCAGCGGAUGAAACACAGGCACGAGGCUCCUGGGGGGGAGGUGUCUGAGCAAUCACACGUAAAACGUACAGCAUUUGCACUUGAAAUACACAGACCUGAAUCACAGCUGGGAUCAAUACAGGAGGACGAUAGAGAUUAUCAAUCUUGAGUGGUCUCCGUUACACAGAAUUGACUGGCAGCCACAUAAUGGCUCGGGCUCAGCCCACCAGUUUAGAGCCCGGGUGACAGAUCUGCAGACGCCAGCCAUCAGCAUCCCUCCUUGGCCCCUCUCACGUGCCCAUUUCUUCUGCUGUCCGGGUCAGCCUCCGAGGUGCGUCUGAGAGAUCAAUGCACAGCUACAGCUGGUUGAAGGGGACCAAAUCCAUUGAACAGUUGAUUUGGUUCCAUUUUACCAGCUUUAGCAAAGCAUUUGGCCUCACGCUCUGCAAAGCAAAGAGGGGAACUCCUCAGGGCCUUUUCCUUCACAGUCGCCAGGACCUCUUCUGAACUUGCUGCCUGACGUUGCACGGGUUCACAUGGCUUCGCUUUCAGGCAUUCAGGAUUUAUUUAAGCUUCUUAGCAGCUUUGGCUGAAGAGCGAGUCUGAAUUAAAGAGGCAGUUUUAAAAGCAGUGGAACAGUCUGCAGCACUCAGUGCCUGCCUGUAGCCUUUUAAACCCGGUGUUUGGCUCUGUUUUGAAGCUGCAUUGCUACCACAGUGUGACUGAGUAGUGUCCUAAUCCAGGUCAUUUAAUUGCCACCUCCAGCCUUCUUUCUUUCAGAUCUUUUGUCUGCUAUCCCCACCCGUGCCCUGCAUUCUGGUAACUCAAGUUUUCUCAUCUACCUUUAAAAUCAGUGCUUUCCAUGGCUUUCAGAUCUGUUGAAGACAAGCAAGGACUGUAUUUACCACCAUCGGGAGGGCGUUGAGUGGAAGAGAAAGCGGAGCAGCCCUGCAGCCUCCCAGCCCCAUCCUCUGCAAGGGCUCAGCCUGCAGCUCCCGGAGAGCCCCACGCUGUGAGCACCCACUGCUCCCAAUAACUCAGUAAAUCAGAUUUUUAAAUCACAGCAGCAGGAGCCAAUAAAGCCAGACCUCUCCUUCGUAACCCAGCGCCACGCGCAGAUAUUGCACAUCGCCACGUGCGUAACCUAUUUAAAGAAUUUACAUGCAUCGCGAGGCAAAGGUGACUUUUUCCCCCCUCUCCCUCACAGCCCACCGCACACACCACGACAUGACACCGAGAAAAAAGCACCUGUGCUGAAAGGCACUGCAUGCAGAGAUAUUGCAUGUGGGCCGGUAUUGCUGGUCCCCAAGAAAUCCAGGCUUUGCAUUGUAACAGUAAGUAGUGCAGAUCACUUAACUGCCCAGCCCCAGUACUGUAAGCUGCCUAUAAAUAAAUGCGGAGAGAGAGCGAAAGAGAGAGAGAACAUCUUUUUUAAAAGAGCUCUACAAUUAAUUUAAUCGAGUUAUCUCUAGGUACCUUUUCAAGAGACAAUCAAGCCAAGGAGCUAAAUGGAAACUUAGACAGUGAGGACCUAGAAGUAUUAAACUCAUCCUUUGGUGAGUUAUAGGAGGGAGGGAAGUAAUUAUUUACCAGAGAACGGGAGGAGGUGGAAGUGCCAGCAGUGACCGAUGCUGCACCGAGACUGCAAGCUAAACCCUGACGGGCAUAUGGAUUUUGGGAGGCAGAGCAAUGAACUGCCCGAACAUCAGCAUGGCGUGCUCCAGGUGCCCUUGUCCUGUCCCCAUCCCAUUGGUUUUGGCAGGAAGGGCGUUAAAACAAGCAUCUUCUGCUGGAGAUGAGUGCUGCUCUGUUCCCCUCGCUUUGCUUCAGGGAGUGCCCCGCAGCACAUCCGAAAUCAAUGCCAGCACGCGCCGACAUUCCGUAACGUUUUGUUUGAAUUCUCUGCAGUGAGUUAUGAGUGAGGUUUUCCUUUUUAGAAAAUUAGGUUUUCUCUUCUGGAUGCCAUUAAUCACGACUAACGAUGGCUCUGGCGGCGAGGCUUUCCCAGAACUGAGGAAAAGCAUCCCCACACCUCUGCUGCAGGGCUGCAGCACAUGGGGCUCACAGCCCCCACACACCUGGGCCCGGCCAGCAGUGCAGCAAGAGGAACUGCAGAGGCUUUGCUGGAUGUGUUCAAAGGUGUGAGCUGUGCUGAAACCCAGUCAGACCAGGCUUUGGUGUCACUUACCCUUCCUAUUGCCCUCCCAGGUUCAAGGACCGGGCGACCCAGCGCCACCAAAUUUAGGUUUGCUGUCUGAAGGUCAUCCUCAUCCAGUUGUUUCCUCCCAGCAGUGCUUGGAAUUGGGUCUCACUGGGAAGGUCCUUUCUGGUCGCUCUGUCCCUAGGACCCUGCCCAUGGGACCGACACCGCCCCAGCCAGGAAUGGCCACAUAGUGGAAUGGCACUGGGGAGAUAUAGGAACACAUCUCUGAAGCAAAUCCAAGGCAAAAUAGCAAAAUAAAGCUGUGCAUCUCAUUCCCCUCUCUGCCAGUCACUGUGUAAUGCCUCGGUUUUGCUUUUGGUCUAAGUGUCAGCUUUGCAGUUCAUGAUUACACUUCUGAGAGCAGCCAGAUCCCUGUGUUAUCAAAGCACUGCCAUGGCAAGUGGGGCCAAAAGUGGGCAACAUAAGAGAACCUGGGGCAAUGAAGACCUUUGUGCUUUAGCCUCAACAUUCUAAUGAAGAUGUUUUAUAUAGACAGCACAGAAUAGCCAAAGAAUUUAUCAACAUUUGUCGAUAUUCCUAAUGAAGCAGAAGAUUCAACAUGCAAUAGAAUUAGCCUACAAGGAACCCUUGUGUAGGGCCCAUCCUUCUGAGUCCAGAAAUCUCCUGCUUAUUCCAGUCCAAUACCCUUUUGAGAAAUGAACAUCUCUUGAAAUCAUUAUCAUUAUAAGCUAAAAGGCCAAAUGAGACAAAGUACUGUUGCUCUUCAUCUGAAUAAACAAAUCAUUUUUAGAUCAAAUGCAUUAACAAUUUAUCAUGCUAAAAUCCAAUCAAAAGGAAAAAACAACAAUACAGAACAUUGAUUUCUUACAGCUUUAUCUUAAUGAAGUGCACAUUCCCUCUGUAAUUAGCUUUGGAAGGUUUUUUUCCCUUUCCUCAAGUUAAUGUGUUAUUUGAUUUCCAUCCAAAUGUCACUAAAUCUGAGGAAUUUUCCCCAAAAUGAAGUGGCUUUUGAUAAUACAGGAAAACGUCUGCUCUCUCAUUUGGCUAUUUUUCCCCCAAACAGCCAUACUUGUACUGCAGAUGAUUCAACUUUAUUGCAUGGUGUCUUUGCGAGGAUGUUUAAAUCAAUGCCACAGUUGCUGUAUUCUGCACAAUGUGCCAUUUGUAAGCCAGAAAAUACAACCUCGGUGCUUUUAUCCUUUUUCUUACAGACAUAAAAUAUUAAUUUAAUUUAUAUUAUUACAGGGGAAAAAGUGGACUGUGUUUUAUUAACAUUUCUAAAAUUAUAGGUAUUCAACCCAAAAAAUAUGCUUCAGCCAAGGCUGGGAAGUCUUCCGCUUGGAUUUUAUUUGACUUAAUUAAAAAGCACUCAGUUCCUAUGGGCACUAAAGGAGCUGCUGACAGUGCAGUAGCCACUCAGUCUUUCAAAACUAUUACCUGAACUUAAUAAAGUGUCUAUUUAGUUUAUACACCUCCAUGAUCCCACCUGUCUCCCACCAACAUGAUGCAAUUCUUGCUAAUGGCUGGAGAAGGCAGCGGGUUGAUGGCAGCCCACAGGCACCCCAGGCAGAACAAUUCCCAUAUCCUAUUGCCUGCCCUAUCUACCUUUAAUCACAGGGUCACAGAAUGGCUUGAUUUGGAAGAGACCUUUAAAGCCCAUCUGGUCCAACCCCCCGCAAUGAGCAGGGAAACCCACAGCUCCAUCAGUGCUCAGAGCCCCUCCAGCCUGACCUUGGGUGUCUCCAGGGAUGGGGCACCUCUCUGGGCAACCUGUGCCAGUGCUUCACCGCCCUCAGCAUAAAAACCUUCUUCCUCAUAUGCCAAUAUCCGAAGCGUUCAAAUCUCCACCAUGCUUGUAAUGAUCAAUGCUAGGAAAGCUUUUUCCCGGCUGCCUCUCUGCUCCUCCACUACAUAUCUCAUUUAAAUCUUUUCUUCUUUAAAUGAUGCUGAACAGAGGACUAUUGCUUUCAUCCUGCUUCACUGAGUAUUUGCUGAAAUGCAGUGGCUAAUUUGAUAGUCCGGUUUUAUUUGGACGUACUGUCGAGACAGAGAGCAAGAUCUAUAACAGAGAAUAUAACCCCAAAUCCUACCAAUUACCAGCUUAUUCCUUAGUUAUACAGGAGACCACAAGUGACCUUAUCAAAAUCUUGACUCUCAAUAUGAACAUCUUCGUCUUAAUCCAAAUUUCACCCUGGAGCUGAAGGUCCUGCUUCAUACACAGCCUAAGAACUGCGGAGCAUCCAUUGCAGCAGGGAGCCCACCCCUGGGACAGGGCUGCCCGCCGAGAGCUGCAGCUCCUGGAACUGGCAGCAGAAAUAGUUUGGAGUUUGGAUUUUUAAACUCACACACUCAAAGAGAACAAAGCUGUUCCCUAAUACACUUUGUGCAUUUUAUGGACCGAACAAUUAAAGAGGUUUUAAAACAUCUGCUGACUGCAUAAUUCCAUACAGGGGAGUGUACUCAGCAUUUUUAAACAACAACGGGUACGAGAUACCACUUAACAGUACAAAACACCAUCAGUCCCGUUAAAAUCAAUAGAAAAUUAGAUGCUAUGAAAAUGCAAUAUGUGUCCAAUUAGUUAUAAUUGGAGCAAAUGGUGAUGCAGAUAAACUCCUGGAGUAAGAUGCAUUUGUCCGGCCCGCUCCCUGCCUGCUUUCGGCACAGCACGGUAUCGGCAGUGGCAGGCUCUGCUGUGCCCCAUAGCAUGAAGGAUGAUCCCUCUAAUACACGUAUGUUAACUGUUAUCUAAUUAUGGAGCUGCUCUGAGCCUGCAGGACUGUUUCGGUGCCCCACCGUGCGCGGUGAAAAAUGAUCCUCUGUCACACGGAAACCUCCCUGUUGUACUUGACAAAUUAUGCCAGCAAACCUGUUUAAGAACUAAAAAAUCCUUGGACGCGGUGACAGGCCAAGAAAUAUGUUGUUUGGGGACAGAUAUUUAUUUAUUUAUCUGGCAGAGGUUAAGAGCCACCACUCGGUUCACUUCUCCCCUGCCUGUCUCCGUUCUGGCAGCUCAAAAUCCGUCUCACCGAUUGUUUCGCCGGUUUCUUUCAACUCAUAAAAACUCCAUUGCAAGGCAAAACAGGAACUAGGUUAUGCGAUGCCAGCGCUUUAUUUUUAACAUCUCCCCUGCAACACGUUGGCCUCCUCUUGGUUUAAUCUUACAACUAAAGGAAUAAGAGCGACGGUUCCGCACAUCCCCAACCGAGUAUUGCCGCCGGCCGCGCUGCCAACCCUCCGUGCCCUUGCAGGGUAUGGAAAUGUGAAACUACUCACGUUGCUCUCAGUACAACCCAUAUUAACUUUGGGGGGUAUUUUUUUCAUAUAUUUGUCUAUAAAGUAGAGAUUACUUUACACAAACAAUUAGCUCAGAGGUAAGAAGCUAUAACUACCGGCAGGGCUCUUAUUUUAUUCCUGUUUUCUGUUAAUAUUAUUAUUCUAAUCAGCAGUAAGGACUGGUGGGUGCAAAGAAAAGCUCCUGUUUGCCCGGCCCUGAAACCUCCUUGUGUUAUUGCUGCUGUUACUUACACGGGAAAGGGAACUGUCUCUUGAGGAAGGGAAAAAAAUGGAGGUGGCAGCUUUUAUUUGUUAAGCUGACUCAGCUGGACAGUGGAACAAGAAAUGUUCAGAUCCAAUCCAUAACUUUUGUGGCCGCUCUAAGGACGUAUUCUUCCUCGACACUGAUAAAAGUUUAAUAUGGAGUUGCCCAGGUUUUUAAUAAACUUGUCAACAAAAGAGCAAGGCAAAUUGAUGGGGACCUUCCCAGGAAUAAAUUCCACUUCAAAUAGGCCAAAUGAGUGUGGAGGACAGAGAGGGGAAGGUACACGGGCAGCUUCUGCUGUUCUUUGCAAAAAUGGCACAAUGGAUUUUAGUGGGUGCGUAUGUGUGUGCGUCUUAUUAUCUCUGAGACAAGGCUUUAGGACAAAGCUUAAAUUAAAGAACACAACCUGGUGUGGCUCAGAGCCCUGACACGGCAAGGAAGGGAAGGGACAAAGCUCCGGCACUGAUUUAGCGGUGAAGCCAUUCCCCACUAAGGAACUGCCAUCUCACCCUGCGAGUAGUGCCGCAUCUCCCAGUGCACCUGAAGGCUCCAGGCAUCUCCUACCCAGACUGUGGUCACUUUGGGACCAUCCCCAACACACUCUGCAACAACCUUUACUCAUACGCUGAGUAUCACCUGUGCCCACCCAUGCAUCACCUGCCCGCCAGCAGACCCUCUCUACUCUGACCUGUGAUGCCAACAGAGUUUUAUCCCACAUCCCCCACUACGCACAUCACAUUUCAGCUACUGCCUGCGCGUUUAUCUCCACUCAGUCAAACCAAUCCCAUUCACUGCUCAAUUUUUUUACUUCCAUACAUCAUGAGCUGCCUCCAGGCACCACACCGCCCCUUCCCAUGGCAUUGACUGCAGGCAUGGCAGGAGGGGCACACACUGCAUGCUCUGCAAGCUUGGGAUGGAAAUCUCUGCACGAGAUGCAUUAUUUUCUAUUAGCCUCCAUCAAGCUGGUGCCUUAAAUUAUUAAGCUUUGUUGUGGUGUUGGUUUGUUUUUUUUUUUAAUUUGUUGACCUGAAGUAAACACAAGUAUUAAAUCAGAUUCCAAUAAUCUCACUGACAGUAAAUUAACUCAUUGUGUCCUAGAGGGGGACGCAACCGCAUCUUGGCCACUCUGAGCAAUGCUUCACCAUCCCUGCAGAUUCCACAUGCAUGCAAUGGGGUAAAAAGCAGAAGGCCAGAUCCUGCCUCCAACCUUGGGCCAUGUCCCAGAUUGGAAGCUCUGCCUGGAUGCCGCGAUGAAAUUUAUUCCUGAUCAUUCUUAGGUCACCGGAUUCCUGCUCCGGUAGCUUUACCCGACCCCCCAAAUGCCAGGGUCGACGUGCCUAUGUAAGGGCUUUGCAGGGACGGCUCCUGCCCUCACAGCUGCUUGGGGACUUCUGCAGCCGGUGGUCACGAGCCCCUGGCUGCCCAGAUGCCACCUAAUCCGGCCCGGCAGAGGGGCAGCUGAGAAUGAGCACUAUUUAUACCAGCUGCUGCUGGUCCCGCUGGGCUGCCUGUGGCUUUUUUAGCUAGCAGCUCCCAUCCCAGCGCAGGCCAUAUCUGGACAUGGCACAGGCAGAGUGCUGUGCUUCGAGAAGAGAAGAAAGAAAAAAAAAAGAGGGAAAAAAGGAAAAGCUGCAUCUGUUUUAAGAUGUCAGGCACCCUGUUUCCAUCAAAGCAUCCUGAGCACCACCAAAACUGCUCCAACUGCUAAAAGCUUCACUAUAAACUUGCCUCUUAUUCCAAGUGUGUCUGUCCUCUGACAACCUUCCACCCGUGCACAUGGCUAUUGGCCUCUGUUCCUUCAUACAGACCUCUAUGCAAGAAAUGCAAGCUCAAAGCAAGGGUGAAUGCUGACACUGCUUACACAGUGUGAGCAGAAUCUCCUUUGGAGAAUUACAGGGUGUCAGAGGAGGCAGGCGGCUUGGAGCUCUGCCUGUUGAGGAGGCUGCACAAGACUUUGCAUUUUGGCCAUUACACACUCAGAAUGAGCUUGUUCUUGGGUAAUUGCACCAAGACCUUCUCCAGUCCUAUCCCUGCAAUGGCUUCAGCAUCUCUACAUGAGCAGCCCCCUCCCUCUGGGGGAAUGCAAGGCAGGGGAGCAGCAUAGCUGCCUGCAGCCCAGCAAGCAGGCGGUGCAAUGAGCUGCACUCGCCAUGACCCUGCAUCCCAACAGGGAAGCAUCUUGCUGCAUGAUGGCUUCAGGUCAAGAGCAACUUCAGCAGAAAGCGCUAAACUGAGCGCCUUCACUGGGAGGGAAUCGCUGAAAUCAGCGCCCGGCUUUCAGGGGAGGGAUGCGAGCUCCGGAGCGAGGAUAUUUCUCUUGCAAGGAACACACCACCCCCUCGCCCACAGCCACCGUGAAGUGCAAGAUGUGGUGAAACUCUUUAAAAAUAGAUAUAUUCCCAAGCAAUACAUGCCGCUCGCAUCUGGCAGGGCAAACCUAGCAUGGAAGCUCUUGCUUACAGACUAAAAAGCCUCGGAGCAGCUCAAGGCUCCUGCAACCUUGUCUCUCUCCUCGAUUCUUCAGAGCCCGCUCUUGUUCUUGGCCUAACCCAGUCCUGGGAAGCACAAGGGAAGCCCUGCCCAGCUAGGCUGGUGUCAAAGGCAGGGAAAGAUACUGCAGUGCAGUGCUGAUCUCUUCUGCAAUCGGACGUGCAGACUAGCCCGAAUGCUGAGUCAGCACAAUUUCUUUUUUGAUUGGUUGAUCCGAGUAACAUACUUUCAAUGUAUGCUAAAGGGGCAGCAAUUAAUAUGUUUUCCCCCCGUUCUCCACCUUUCCAAACCUCCUCAAAUCAAACACACAAAUCUCACCCCCAAAGUCACUCUCUGGUCCUAAAUAUUCUGAGGCUCUUUCAUUUUUAAUUUAGGGCAUUAAAAAAAAAAAAAUUUGCAAUCUAAGCGAUGCUCACUUUGAUCGACUUGUGCUGCAGCAGCUAAAAUAUCUGUCCUGCAGGUCAAUCUAAUCAUGCUUAAUAGCAGUUUAUUCUUCAACGCAACAUUUUUCACAUUGGGUCGACAGUUUUAAAUGAGAUUGCUGAUGCACCCCUUUACUAAUGCUUUCACCAGGGCCAGCACAUCCCUUGAAAUACUCGUGCAAUAAAAUGAAUGCUUUAUUGCUCUUGAUGAAUGCACUAUUAAACUUGAAUUGCAAAUAUGCCCCCCCCCCCCUUUUUUUUUUUUUUUUUACAAAAGAAGAGUGCUGGGAUUUAUUGGACCACCUGUCUUCCAGUAUUAAGUAAUAGCAACAAAAGUAAUAAUAGCUCAUCAACAUAAACACAUGAAAGGGAAAAAAAUAAUUCAGGGGAAAACACACAGCACGAAUUCAUCCCCGUGCUCCCAUGCGCGUGUGCAAAAUUCCCAUUCUAUACCUGCCCGUAGUUCCUCUUAUGUGCAGAAAAUUCAUCUCAAGAACGGAUGGGUUUUGUGAGGCAUAGAAUAGGAAAACGUAACUAAUUUGGUCCACUGGAUUUAUGGCUUUUACAGUCCUCAGAGCUCCCGUUUCUGCUGGUGGGACCGCUCAGUGCGCGCUUUGCGGGACGGAUGGGCACAGCCGAGCAUCGCGCCUCGCUUCAGCACAGAACCUGCAGCUCUGCUCUAUGGAGAGCGAAGGAGAAGAGGCUUUCUUCAAGCUAAGAAAUAGGGAGGACCUAGUGUGGAGGAACAGUCACAGUUUUAAUCCAAACAAGAAGAAAAGCGAGAAGGAGCUGGAGCUAAGAGUAAGAAUGGCGCAAACUGGUGGACGAUGCUAAUGACUAAAGGGCUGACGUGGUUUUGGGGUCUUUACAGCAUUUCUAUUUAUUUUUUGGCAUUGCCACACUGCACCAGAGAUGGGGUAGGGUCUCAGGAUGUGUUCUGCACCCACACACCUCCACCACGUGGCUCCCACACCGUGAGACAGAGCUGAGUUAUGGUUUUGAAAAUAUUUACAUAAAAAUAAAUCUGAACACUUAGUGACUUCCUAAAGUUAGCAAUUCCGUGUGAUUAACAAGCAUAUUAAUUCAGAGAGGGGGAAGGAGAUAAAAAUUGCAUUAGGGAUGCAGGUAUCUGUUGUAAAUCAGACCAUGAGCACCUUCGCUAGAGAUAUGCACAGUGAUGUGGAAGGCUCAGUAACACCCGCGCUGAGAAUGCAGAGAAAGAGAAGAAAACAAGAAAAAGAAAGAGCAAGACAAUGAGAGAAUGAAAGAAAAGAGAAAAAAAAAAAGAAAAUAAAGAAGAGAAAAAUAUAAGAGCGGAGUUGAAAGCAAGAAAGCAAGCUAGAAAUAAGGAGAAAAUGAGAAGCACACAAGUAGAAGACAAGGAAAGAAGGAAGGAGAGGAAAGCAGUGAGGAAAAGGGAAUCGAGAAGAGGUAGGGUAAAAGGUCACCUGGGAGAGGAGGGAAAUUGCUAUUGUGGCCAGAAUGGUGAGAAUCAUCCCCAUUUUUCACACAGCAAGUCAAGCUCCCAGCAGUGAUGUACAAGUGAGAGAAAUUGCAGCCCUGUUUGGCCAUGGGAACUCUGCUGCUCCGUCUCUAUUCAUUUCCCAGCACCUUUGUAUUUAAUUGUGGCCCCAAACUGGGGCAGGACACCCUCAGUGGCUGGGACCCAUCCCUGUCCAGGGGACAAUGCCUCUCCUCAAAGCACCUGGCAAAGCAGAGGUCCCUCCUCCCCCAAGCAGAGGUUGAGCACUCCAUGUGUGUCCACCACUUGUAUCAUCUUUCUAAAAAAAGAAAGAUUUAUAAAACUUACAGAAUUCUGUACAUUGGAAAUCUCCUUAAGAGCCCAGCCCUCCUUACUUAACCUGCUAUUCACAAGUGCCUGCUUUCCGUUAAACCCCAUUUGGUGUACGUGUAACAAGUGGCAGCAGUGCUUGCCAUGAAUCACAACAAACUGAGGCUCAGCAAAGGCCUUCAGAGCACUUUUGCCAAGCACAGAGAUGUGCUGAAACCAGAGGGAACUUGCUCCAGAGCAGAACACUGCUGUGCCCUCGGCUGCACGGCGGGGUGAUGGGGAUAAGUUUGGGAGUAGGUGGGAUGGAGAAAUGCAGUGCCUAACAGCCCAGAUAUGUGCAUCUCAUAAGCUUGAGGAAAAUGGGGGCUGAAAGCUUCACCCGCCCCUACCCAGACAGAAAGUUCUGAUUGUUCGCACAGAACGUUACACCCAUUUGUAUCAUUGCAUCUCACUGCCGUGGGAUGCUGGGAGAAUAACCAGGUGUUUUACGAUGAGAAAGGUUAAAAAGGAAAACCAGAACACCAGGAAAGCUUCUCAAAUUCAAGGUGCUAUUUUCCUUAUUUCCCUCUAAUAACCCUCUAAUAACACACACUGGGAGCGCUCACUGCCUCUGGCUGGGAGCUGGGCACCCACUGGCCAUGUCCAAGGGCCAACACACGCACAGUGAACAUUGCUUCCUCUCCAGCAUUAAGCACAAAAAGUUUUAACACAGGAAACAUCCCAAAAGCUGUCUGCGUAUUUACGUGAAGCCAAAAUACUGCACCUCCAAGUCACAACUCCUUCCCUUCUUCUCCCCGCCUCCAACUCCUUUCCUUUUCCCUAGGAUUAAGGACCAGCUCUUUUACCCAGCCUUAUUUUUGGGAAAAAGGGCCGAGGGGGAAGCAGCAAUCCGGAGGGACUGGUCUGUAUCCCCGCUGAAAACCAGGAGUGGACAGCCAGCUUUCCUCUGGCAUCGCCUUUCAAAGCCCAUGCCGCAGUCAGCAUAUUGAAUAUUUAAUGUCCUGAUGAGCAUUUCCACCUGCUGACACAGGCAAAGUGACAGAACAAUACACGCACUGGAACAAGAUCACCAAUUGACUCCCCAGCCAGUCUGCCAUGUCAGGCAUCUCAAAAAAAAAAGACAAAAAUCUGUCUGUCUUCCUCCCCCCCCCCCCCUUCACACGGGGUCAUACAUUGCUCCUCCGAGAAGAG